rnacentral:rRNA from 1 species
UACAGAGGUCUCAAGCGUUGUUCGGAUUCAUUGGGCGUAAAGGGUGCGUAGGUGGCGCGGUAAGUCGGGUGUGAAAUUCGAGCUUAACUCCGAAACUGCAUUCGAUACUGCCGUGCUUGAGGACUGGAGAGGGAGUACGUGGAAUUUCAGGUGUAGCGGUGAAAUGCGUAGAUAUCUGAAGGAACACCGGUGGCGAAGGCGGCAUCCUGGACCAUUACUGACACUGAUCCGCGGAAAGCUAGGGGAGCAAACAGG